CCCUUAGAUGUUCUGGGCUGCACGCGCGCUACACUGAAGCUAUCAACACGUUUUCCCUCCCUAAGAAGGGCGGGUAACCUUUUGAAUCAGCUUCGUGGUAGGGAUCGGGGCUUGCAAUUGUUCCCCGUGAACCAGGAAUUCCUAGUAGACGCGAGUCAUAAGCUCGCAUCGAUUAAGUCCCUGCCCUUUGUACACACCGCCCGUCGCUACUACCGAUUGAACGUUUUAGUGAGGCAUUUGGACCGACGCAUCUCAGUUUAACCGCUGGUUUGUGUUGGAAAGACUUCCAAACUUGAGCGUUUAGAGGAAGUAAAAGUCGUAACA
rnacentral:rRNA from 1 species